GAUGAACGCUGGCGGCGUGCCUAAUACAUGCAAGUCGAGCGAACGGACGAGAAGCUUGCUUCUCUGAUGUUAGCGGCGGACGGGUGAGUAACACGUGGAUAACCUACCUAUAAGACUGGGAUAACUUCGGGAAACCGGAGCUAAUACCGGAUAAUAUUUUGAACCGCAUGGUUCAAAAGUGAAAGACGGUCUUGCUGUCACUUAUAGAUGGAUCCGCGCUGCAUUAGCUAGUUGGUAAGGUAACGGCUUACCAAGGCAACGAUGCAUAGCCGACCUGAGAGGGUGAUCGGCCACACUGGAACUGAGACACGGUCCAGACUCCUACGGGAGGCAGCAGUAGGGAAUCUUCCGCAAUGGGCGAAUGCCUGAAGGAGCAACGCCGCGUGAGUGAUGAAGGUCUUCGGAUCGUAAAACUCUGUUAUUAGGGAAGAACAUAUGUGUAAGUAACUGUGCACAUCUUGACGGUACCUAAUCAGAAAGCCACGGCUAACUACGUG
rnacentral:rRNA from 1 species